UACGGAGGGUGCGAGCGUUGUCCGGAAUCACUGGGCGUAAAGGGCGCGUAGGCGGCCAUUCAAGUCGGGGGUGAAAGCCUGUGGCUCAACCACAGAAUUGCCUUCGAUACUGUUUGGCUUGAGUAUGGUAGAGGUUGGUGGAACUGCGAGUGUAGAGGUGAAAUUCGUAGAUAUUCGCAAGAACACCGGUGGCGAAGGCGGCCAACUGGACCAUUACUGACGCUGAGGCGCGAAAGCGUGGGGAGCGAACAGG
rnacentral:rRNA from 1 species